AUUUGGCGGACGGGUGAGUAAUGUAUCGGAACGUGCCCAGUAGCGGGGGAUAACUACGCGAAAGCGUAGCUAAUACCGCAUACGCCCUACGGGGGAAAGCAGGGGAUCGCAAGACCUUGCACUAUUGGAGCGGCCGAUAUCGGAUUAGCUAGUUGGUGGGGUAACGGCUCACCAAGGCGACGAUCCGUAGCUGGUUUGAGAGGACGACCAGCCACACUGGGACUGAGACACGGCCCAGACUCCUACGGGAGGCAGCAGUGGGGAAUUUUGGACAAUGGGGGAAACCCUGAUCCAGCCAUCCCGCGUGUGCGAUGAAGGCCUUCGGGUUGUAAAGCACUUUUGGCAGGAAAGAAACGUCGCGGGUUAAUACCCCGCGAAACUGACGGUACCUGCAGAAUAAGCACCGGCUAACUACGUGCCAGCAGCCGCGGUAAUAAU
rnacentral:rRNA from 1 species